GUGAGGAAGGUAGGGUAUGUUAAUAGCAUAUUCAUUUUGACGUUAGCUGCAGAAGAAGCACCGGCUAACUCCGUGCCAGCAGCCGCGGUAAUACGGAGGGUGCGAGCGUUAAUCGGAAUUACUAGGGCGUAAAGCGCAUGCAGGUGGUUUGUUAAGUCAGAUGUGAAAGCCCGGGGCUCAACCUCGGAAUUGCAUUUGAAACUGGCAAACUAGAGUACUGUAGGAGGGGGUAGAAUUUCAGGUGUAGCGGUGAAAUGCGUAGAGAUCUGAAGGAAUACCGGUGGCGAAGGCGGCCCCCCUGGACAGAUACUGACACUCAGAUGCGAAAGCGGUAGGGGAGACAAACAGGAUUAGACUACCCUGGUAG
rnacentral:rRNA from 1 species